AACGAACGCUGGCGGCAUGCCUAACACAUGCAAGUCGAACGAAGUCUUCGGACUUAGUGGCGCACGGGUGCGUAACGCGUGGGAAUCUGCCCUUGGGUGCGGAAUAACUUCUCGAAAGGGAUGCUAAUACCGCAUAAUGUCGUAAGACCAAAGAUUUAUCGCCCAAAGGAUGAGCCCGCGUAAGAUUAGCUAGUUGGUGGGGUAAAAAGCCUACCAAGGCGACGAUCUUUAGCUGGUCUGAGAGGAUGAUCAGCCACACUGGGACUGAGACACGGCCCAGACUCCUACGGAGGCAACAGUGGGGAAUAUUGGACAAUGGGCGAAAGCCUGAUCCAGCAAUGCCGCGUGAGUGAUGAAGGCCCUAGGG
rnacentral:rRNA from 1 species